GAUGAACGCUAGCGGCAGGCUUAAUACAUGCAAGUCGAGGGACAGCACAGGUAGCAAUACUGGGUGGUAACCGGCAAACGGGUGCGGAACACGUACACAACCUUCGUUUAAGUGGGGGAUAGCCCAGAGAAAUUUGGAUUAAUACCCCGUAAUAUAGUUGAAUGGCAUCAUUUGAUUAUUAUAGCUACGGCGCUUAAUGAUGGGUGUGCGGCGGAUUAGGUAGUUGGCGGGGUAACGGCCCACCAAGUCUACGAUCAGUAGCUGAUGUGAGGACGUGACCGGCCACACGGGCACUGAGACAGGGGAGCGACUUCGACGAGAGGCAGCAGUAAGUAAGAUUGGUCAAUGGACGCGGGUCUGAACCAGCCAUGCCGCGUGAAGGAUUAAGGUCCUCUGGAUUGUAAACUUCUUUUAUUUGGGACGAAAAAGGGCCUUUCUAGGUCAACUGACGGUACCAGAUGAAUAAGCACCGGCUAACUCCGUGCCAGCCGCCGCGGUAAGAC
rnacentral:rRNA from 1 species